UUGAAAGGGAAACGAUUGAAGUCAGUCGUGCUGGCAUGAAAUCAACCACUGCAUACACAAAAGUGUUGGCGGGUGAGCCUAAAAACCAUCGCGCCAACAUUUUUGCGUAUGCAGUGGUGCACUUUUUUGUCAGCUGGUUAGCAUCAAUUUCGACCGUCAUAAAAAGGCUGGGGGGAUGUGGCUCCUUCGGGAGUGUUAUAACCCUUAGCGGAAUGUGGUGGACGUGAUUGAGGAUUGCAACGGGUGCUGCUUUACCUGGCCUCUCGCUUGCGUCUCGGUGGCGACAGCUGUUCUCUUCUGUACUUUUUUUG
rnacentral:rRNA from 1 species